GGCGUCAGCCAGAGGAGACGGAAGGGAAGGAGAGUCAGGAAGCUGUGAGGAUCCCCAAGGCAGAAAGGAGGCUCUGCCCAGCCCAGGUGCUGCCUCUUUUCCCUGGCAGCCUCAGCGCCACCCGCAUCCCCUGGCUGCUGUGAGGGAGAGUUUCUCUAAUGGAUCAGAGCUGGUUCAUUCAUUCCAUCUCACUGCGUGCCAGGCCGCUGCUGCUGGGAAGCCAAGCCGUCACUGAAGAUGCAGGCUGAGGGCCUCACAUCCAGGGCUGUCUGGGGGCAGCUGGGCACUGGCAGACUGGUUUAUUCAGGAAUAAAAUGCUGGAGAAGCUGUGGUGAAACUGAAGGCCCCAUGCAGUGAUGGGACUUGGCCAGGGUCCUAUUGCAAUUUCCCUGCCUGGCCUUCAUGAGAUCUGCUCACCGCCUGCUCAGUGUCCUCUCUGGGAAGUUAUGCAGCUGGAAGGAGGCCUCUGGGAUAAAAUAAUUACAGAGAAAACAGAUGGGCGGCUGAGCAAUCCUCCCCUCCUCAGUGUGCCUGAGAAUCCUUCUGUCUGGCCCCAGGGCCAGGAGGAGGUGCUGUUCCAAAGGGAGCUGGUUACCACCUUCUGGGAAAGGGGCGCUGGACAAUCCUGCCUUAGCCAUCCCUUCUGCAUCCUCUCAGGAGCCUUUUUGUGCACCAUUCUCACCGGAGGUAUCGUCAUCAAGGCCCACUCUCGUCUCCCAUAGGGUCCUGCUAAAGAACCGAACAUCAACUGUCCCAAGGAAGGGCCUGUCCGUGGUAGAUGCAAGAGCCUUACCUUGCCCUUGGUGGAGGAGGAGAAAAAGGGAAGAGGGACUCACAAGAAUGAAAUCUUUUCCCUCCAUGUUCCCACCUUUCAGAAGUCCAGGAGGGAGAAGAGGGUCCCAGCUAUGCAAUUCUCUGAUGCCUAGGCCUUGGCACACUUCAGUCUGACUCUGACUUUCCCCAUGCCCUGCUCCCUCUCUGUGUCCCCACAACUGACCACUCUCCCUCAGCCUCCUCUUUUAUGACCCCCAGGCUUGCUUGCGCUCCGUACCCCCAAGAGCUCAGGAGGCUCCCACUUUUGGAAGGCAAGCCCCUCCCCAACUUUAUCACAUCUCCUGCCUCCAGAACUGUCCACCACAGACUUGCCUGUCUCUCAAGCCUGCCUCCUCUGGCUACCGCUACCUGAAUGCUGCCCCACCCCCUUUUUUCCUUAGGUCUGAGCAGGCUGGGUUCUGCAACAUCAGGCCCUCCCGGCUUCCCUCAGUUUCACUGGGUUGCCCUUUAGUGAGAGCAAUCUCUCAUUUGGUUGUUUUUCUUUCAUUGCAUCCCUCUCAGCCAGAGUGCAUUCCCCCUUAGCCCAAUGGGACGCUGCUGUUUUCCAUCUAGAUUUCCCUUCUCCCCUUCCGCUGGGUCUCCUUUCCUGGCUCCGCACAGGCUUUUCCUUCUCCAGGAAGCUCGCCCUCUAGCCCGGGCUGCGGGAGCUGCCCUCCCUCCCUGCCACGUCCUUUCCAGCCUACAGAGCUGGUGUCUGUUUCCUGGGGGUUCUUCCUAGCCCGGUUGGAGCUUUGCAGGCUGCAGGGAUGCUCAGUGGAUCCUUGGGGAAUCAGUGGGUGGAAAAGUGGCAAAUGACAGGAUCCCCUGCGGAAUUGCCAGGCCUGUUCUCUUUCCUCUACCAUCAGGGCUUUUCACACCGAGCAUUUAAUAAAGUGCCACGAACAGCUCAUGUUCAGCUGCUCAGUGGGUCCAACUUUCCCAGGCCUGGCUCCUGGGACCAGAGCAGAAGUAGACCUCAUGAAGAAAAAGCAGGAAGGACCUGAGUGCCCUGUCUAGGCCCAGGAGGAACACAGAGUCUCCUCUGCAGCUUCCUGAGCAAUGAAACCAAGGGGGAAGAGCAGGGAUGUGUGUGUGUGUGUGUGUGUGUGUGUGUGUGUGUGUGUGUGUGUGAAAUCUUCUGUUGCAAAGACAGUUAUGUGCCGACCACCUCCCUCCCUGAAUGUCCCUCUAGCCCAGGCCUAGAACGUCGUCUCACCCCACCUCCCAGGCUCAGCAGGAGCGGCUGUAUAGCCUGCCCCAGGGAAGCCUUGCUCCACAGUUCACUUUGAUUUAUUCUCAAAGACAGGGAGUCCUAGAUCUUUGCCCACUGUCACCAAGUACAUCCAAGAGACAAAGACAGGAAGAACCAGCCUACAGAAGGAGGUGACUAUGGAGCACUGGAAGCUUCCAACCUGUCCUUAAUAAGGGAUUUCAGAGGCUGUAGCCAUUGACCCCAGAAACCAGCCCAGUGCCUGGCUCUAGAGUCAGUCUGCCAGACAUAGCCGGCGUAAAUAAGGCAAGUCUCAGAGAAGUUCCUUUCUCAUAGAAAGAGUGGUCCCACUCUACAAAUGUUACCUCGAAGAGACAAUCUGGGGGGCCUGUGUAGAUGUGGGGAGUCAACUCACCAGUACUCACAUAGGAUGCUCUGCUCAUGUCUGGAUCCUCUUCAAAAGCAGGAGAUUCUUCUACCCAAACUCAGGCCUCAGGUGUAGGUUAUUUCUUAAGCAAAAGGUGCGAGGGGCACAAUUGGUUGGUGGGCAUUUUCUGACUGGGUGUGCCAGGGUGGGAUGUAGAGAGCCGUUGCCUCCUGGCUUUGGGUCCAGGCUCCCCUGCAGAGCCACCUGAUUCUUUUACCUCUUGAUUCCGGCUGCCUUCCUGCCUCUGGUGCAGUUUCCUUUCCUAAGGUGUGUAGGGGGGGACUCAUUCCUGGAAUCCGGGUUGUCUUAGCAACUGGAGGCUGCCACUGCACCUUGGCCCAUAGAAACUAGCCCAGUGCCUGGCUCUAGAGCAGCAGUUCUCAACCUGUGGGUCGCGCCCCCUUUGGGGGGUCCAACGACCCUUUCACAGGGGUCGCCUAAGACCA